UACGGAGGGUGCAAGCGUUAUCCGGAUUCACUGGGUUUAAAGGGUGCGUAGGCGGCCAACUAAGUCAGACGUGAAAUCCCUCAGCUUAACUGGGGAACUGCGUCUGAUACUGGAUGGCUUGGAUUCGGGAGAGGAAUGCGGAAUUCCAGGUGUAGCGGUGAAAAUGCGUAGAUAUCUGGAGGAACACCGGUGGCGAAGGCGGCAUCCUGGACCGGUAUUGACGCUGAGGCGCGAAAGCCAGGGGAGCAAACGGGG
rnacentral:rRNA from 1 species